ACCAAGAGAUUUGCAGCUGUAAUUGCUGGAAAAGGUGGCAGCAGUGGUAUAUCAGAUCAGACCAUACAAACAUGCCGACAACCAUCCGUGGAGAUCAGUCGACAGAGGGCCGGACAACGGGCCGCACCAAAAAAACGCAUGGUUGCCAAGAAAGCGGUUAGUUUUGCUAAAAUGUGUAUGCAGUGUGUUGGAGUCACUUUUAAUUCCUAAUUGAUCUACCGUUUAUAUAAUAGGCCACUGGAUUGAAUGGGGGCUCAGGGCAGUACCAUUCUGCUCAUCUGAUGAAGGUGCACAUGGAUCACAUUCAAACUGACAGAGAUCGAGUUAGAGGCAGACCAGCAGAAAGAGAAACAUUAUCGGAGGGCAGAGAUACGGGCGACAGCUGAUGCAUUGGUCCAGAACCAGGCAGCAUUGGCGGAGAGACAGGCGGAGAAUGGCGCUUUGAAGAGGGCGAGGAACAAGAUGGAGUUACAAUCCAUGCCAGGCACACCUGUGAGCUCUGGAACUCCACCUCCGACAGGCAGAGUCAACAUACCUGGCGUGUUCAUCAGGUUAUCGGUUCACCCUGACAUUUCCAUUCCUCUUCU
rnacentral:lncRNA from 1 species